AUUGAACGCUGGCGGCAGGCCUAACACAUGCAAGUCGAGCGGAUGAAGGGAGCUUGCUCCUGGAUUCAGCGGCGGACGGGUGAGUAAUGCCUAGGAAUCUGCCUGGUAGUGGGGGAUAACGUCCGGAAACGGGCGCUAAUACCGCAUACGUCCUGAGGGAGAAAGUGGGGGAUCUUCGGACCUCACGCUAUCAGAUGAGCCUAGGUCGGAUUAGCUAGUUGGUGGGGUAAAGGCCUACCAAGGCGACGAUCCGUAACUGGUCUGAGAGGAUGAUCAGUCACCCGGGAAACGAGGCCCGGUCCCGACUCCCUACGGAGGGAGCAGUUGGGAAAAUUUGACAAAGGGGGAAAGGCCGAUACAGCCCUGACGCGGGUUUUGAAGAAGUUCUCGGAAUGGUAAAUGAGUUUAAGUGGGAGGAAGGGCAGUUAGGUUAUAACUUUCUGGUUUCAACUUACCAAAAGAAAUAGGCCCGGCUUAAUUCGUG
rnacentral:rRNA from 1 species